UACGGGGGGGGUAAGCGUUGUUCGGAAUUACUGGGCGUAAAGGGCUCGUAGGCGGUUUGUCGCGUCGGCCGUGAAAACUUGGGGCUUAACCCCAAGCUUGCGGUCGAUACGGGCAGACUUGAGUUCGGCAGGGGAGACUGGAAUUCCUGGUGUAGCGGUGAAAUGCGCAGAUAUCAGGAGGAACACCCGUGGCGAAAGCGGCUCUCUGGAACGGUACUGACGCUGAGACGCGAAAGCGUGGGGAGCGAACAGG
rnacentral:rRNA from 1 species